rnacentral:lncRNA from 1 species
UGAAAUAAGAUUUUAUUAAAAAGAAACAACGGAAAACCAAAAACCCUUGAAAGCACAAAGCUGCAGACUAAGGGCCGAGCCUCGUUAAAACCUCAAAACAGUUGAGGAAAAAGAGUACUCGUCAAGGAUCAAGGUUGACAGAGCUGAGUUAGGAGGUCUCAAGGAUUCCGGCCGAACCAUUACCCUUAGGCCUCCCGGCUCGAAACCGAUCCAGAACGAAGAAAAAAAACCAAAAAAAUCACGCGAAACGAGUAAAAUAGGGAAUAGAAACAUCCUCCUUGACAAAAUCAUUUAAACCAGCAAUGGCAUGAGGCCAAAAACCCUCUUCCCUAGCUUGAGAAGCCAAAAAAUCCGCCGAUCUGUUGCCCUCACGAAAAAUGUGGGAAAUGCGCCAUGUGAAAGUAUGGAGUUUGGAGAGAGCAAGCUGCCACCGAGGCUUGAAUCUCCAAGGAACCGUUUCAGAGUGCGACUGAAGAAGCUGAAC